CUGGCACCUUCGGUGUCCGAGUUGUAAUCUCUAGAAAUGUUUUCCGCGUUGGACCGCACACAAGUCUGUUGGAAUACAGCGGCAUAGUGGUGAGACCCCCGUAUAUGGUGCGGACGCCCAGCGCUUUGUGAUACAUUUUCGAAGAGUCGAGUUGUUUGGGAAUGCAGCUCAAAUUGGGUGGUAAAUUCCAUCUAAAGCUAAAUAUUGGCGAGAGACCGAUAGCGAACAAGUACCGUGAGGGAAAGAUGAAAAGCACUUUGGAAAGAGAGUUAACAGUACGUGAAAUUGUUGGAAGGGAAACGCUUGAAGUCAGACUUGCUUGCCGAGCAAUCGGUUUGCAGGCC
rnacentral:rRNA from 1 species